GAGCGGCGAACGGGUGAGUAACACGUGAGUAACCUGCCCCAGGCUUUGGGAUAACCCUCGGAAACGGGGGCUAAUACCGGAUAUUCAUUCCUAGCGGCAUCGUUGGGUGUGGAAAGUUUUUCGGCUUGGGAUGGGCUCGCGGCCUAUCAGCUUGUUGGUGGGGUGAUGGCCUACCAAGGCGACGACGGGUAGCCGGCCUGAGAGGGCGACCGGCCACACUGGGACUGAGACACGGCCCAGACUCCUACGGGAGGCAGCAGUGGGGAAUAUUGCACAAUGGGCGGAAGCCUGAUGCAGCGACGCCGCGUGAGGGAUGAAGGCCUUCGGGUUGUAAACCUCUUUCGACAGGGACGAAGCGCAAGUGACGGUACCUGGAGAAGAAGCGCCGGCCAACUACGUGCCAGCAGCCGCGGUAAGACGUAGGGCGCGAGCGUUGUCCGGAUUUAUUGGGCGUAAAGAGCUCGUAGGCGGCUUGUUGCGUCAGCUGUGAAAACCCGCAGCUCAACUGUGGGCUUGCAGCUGAUACGGGCAGGCUUGAGUUCGGUAGGGGAGACUGGAAUUCCU
rnacentral:rRNA from 1 species